UUAGUAAAGCACAAAUGGAGACUUAUCUUCUUCACCUCCACAGACAAAUCUCCACAAAAGAUUACGGUAUUGAAUACAAUCUAUGACACCUGGGUUUUUAACAUUUUCAUUUUUCAGGUUUGUCCAUAACCUGUGCCCUUCAAAACAAACUUCAAAACCAUCUACUUAGCAUCAGUCACACACCUGGUUGGUUGGGUUUCUGCUUUGUUCUGAUUGUUGGGUGUUUUUUUGAAUGGUUGGUUGGUUGGUUGGUUUUUAAGCAGCAGGCUACAAAAAAAAAAAAAAAAAAAAAAAAAAAAAAAAAAAAAAAAAAAAAAACCACCAGAAGGAAGAAGGAAUUUCUGGACUUCAAGAAGUGAAUUCCAGAUCUGUCUGACAUCCCACUUCAACUGUCCUUCCUGUCGUCAAUUCCAUGGCCCAGUUUAGGAAUGUGAAAAUAAGGGCCUCACAUGGCUGAACCAACCCAAACGCCAAGCGAUACCCUGAACUGACUGGCCUGGACUAGCCCCCUCUGGGAAGCACCACAGGUUUCCCUGAUGUCCAGGGAAGAGUGAAGUCCUAGUUCUCUAGACAAAUAGGGUGAGGAAGACAGUCUGGCUGAACAAUGCCUUGGGGGAGGGGAGAGACAACACCCCCACAACCCUCCCAAGCUGUUGGCCACCCACAGACUCAUCCCGUUUCUUAAAGGGAAAAAAGAAA
rnacentral:lncRNA from 1 species